UACGUAGGGUGCAAGCGUUAAUCGGAAUUACUGGGCGUAAAGCGUGCGCAGGCGGUUUUGUAAGUCUGUCGUGAAAGCCCAGGGCUCAACCUGGGAAUUGCGAUGGAGACUGCAAGGCUUGAAUCUGGCAGAGGGGGGUAGAAUUCCACGUGUAGCAGUGAAAUGCGUAGAGAUGUGGAGGAACACCGAUGGCGAAGGCAGCCCCCUGGGUCAAGAUUGACGCUCAUGCACGAAAGCGUGGGGAGCAAACAGG
rnacentral:rRNA from 1 species